UCCCCCUGGCAAUGGGCAAAGAGAUGCAUGCCUUACUGGUAGUCUUGGUCUUAUAUCAGUCAGGGGCAGAGCAGAACUUUGUUCAUCCCAGCUUGAUGCUUGAUUUGGUGGUCAAAGCUACUUUAUGCCUAGGACAUAUCA